GCUACCAUGGCGGAGCGGUCGAACGCGGCGGCCUUAAGAUCCGCUCCUCUUACCCGAGGGCGCAGGUUCGAAUCCUGCUGGUAGCA